ACAUCUUUUAUUUGUUUAAAGGGAGAGAGAGAGAGAGGAAGAAAAGAAGCUGGAGCUCCAGCGAUGCUUUAAAGGCCGAAGAAAACUUCACCUGACAUCUUCCCUGCAAAGUUGAUGCAGAGUUCAACAGGGUCGUACCAAGAACCUAUAGAUGGACUUUUUUGAUGCCCUUGGGAAAAAAAAAAUACAAAGAAAGGAAGUGUGGGGCAGACCCUGAGAGUGUUGUUGCAACAAGUUGAUGCUUGGAUGUGACGGCAAUGCGCACCGUGUACUCUGAGGCCUCCGUGUUCUACUUGGUGACGAUCCCAGUGACUUCUGCAACACCUGCUUUGUGACAACAAUCGCUGCCUAUUCUCCUGCAAAGAUGCUUCCAGCAAGAUGACGAGAGGCCGACGCCGGUGUCAAAGGAGCAAGCAGCGGUUUCCAGUCCAUGCAAGUCGAU